rnacentral:rRNA from 1 species
CCCUUAGAUGUUCUGGGCAGCACGCGCGCUACAAUGGUCUUCGCAAACGGAUGCAUUCUCGAAGGAGAAUGCCAAUCUUGGAAUCUAUGCCUUGGUCGGGACAGUUGCUUGCAAUUUUUCGACUCGAACCAGGAAUUCCUUGUAAUCGUGAUGCAUCACAUCACGAUGAAUACGUCCCUGCCCUUUGUACACACCGCCCGUCGCUCCUACCGAUCGAAGAGUUAGGUGAAUUGUUUUGAUCGAUAAGAUUUGACUAUGGUCAACUCUCGUUGUGAAAUUCUGUGAAUCUGACUGUUUAGAGGAAGGAAAAGUCGUAACA